rnacentral:rRNA from 1 species
AACGAACGCUGGCGGCAUGCCUAACGCAUGCAAGUCGAACGAGACCUUCGGGUCUAGUGGUGCACGGGUGCGUAACGCGUGGGAACCUGCCCUUAGGUUCGGAAUAACUCCCCGAAAGGGGUGCUAAUACCGGAUAAUGUCUUCGGACCAAAGAUUUAUCGCCUUUGGAUGGGCCCGCGUUGGAUUAGCUAGUUGGUAGGGUAAAAGCCUACCAAGGCGACGAUCCAUAGCUGGUCUGAGAGGAUGAUCAGCCACACUGGGACUGAGACACGGCCCAGACUCCUACGGGAGGCAGCAGUGGGGAAUAUUGGACAAUGGGCGAAAGCCUGAUACAGCAAUGCCGCGUGAGUGAUGAAGGCCUUAGGGUUGUAAAGCUCUUUUACCCGGGAUGAUAAUGACAGUACCGGGAGAAUAAGCUCCGGCUAACUACGUG